UGGGGAAUCUUGGACAAUGGGGGCAACCCUGAUCCAGCCAUGCCGCGUGAGUGAUGAAGGCCUUAGGGUCGUAAAGCUCUUUCGCCUGUGAAGAUAAUGACGGUAGCAGGUAAAGAAACCCCGGCUAACUCCGUGCCAGCAGCCGCGGUAAUACGGAGGGGGUUAGCGUUGUUCGGAAUUACUGGCGUAAAGCGCACGUAGGCGGACCAGAAAGUUGGGGGUGAAAUCCCGGGGGCUCAACCCCGGAACUGCCUCCAAAACUAUUGGUCUAGAGUUCGAGAGAGGUGAGUGGAAUUCCAAGUGUAGAGGUGAAAUUCGUAGAUAUUUGGAGGAACACCAGUGGCGAAGGCGGCUCACUGGCUCGAUACUGACGCUGAGGUGCGAAAGUGUGGGGAGCAAACAGGAUUAGAUACCCUGGGUAGUCCACACCGUAAAACGAUGAAUGCCAGUCGUCGGGUAGCAUGCUAUUCGGU
rnacentral:rRNA from 1 species